AUAGUGUUCAUAGUCAGGACAAGAUGGCCGCUCGAGUAUUGCUUGUUGCCCUUAUCGUCCUUGGGUGCGGUUUUGCCCUGAGCCAGCUGCUGACGCCAUUCAUGGUGUGUGAGAUCCAAGAGUUGCACAAGCGAAAUCUGACGUCACUUCCGUUUUCCCACCCGGAAAUGGUGGAAAUAAGGGAAUACUGUUCAAAACACACGUAUGACCACCUUCCAGGAAACAUCGGGACUUUGGGAAAAUAGUGUUCAGUCCAUGAUUUUGAAGUGUUGUAAAUGGUACUAAACCAAAUAAAGAUACUUACUGGUCGAA